AAUAGUUUUAUGCCGCAUCAGCAUUAUCAUCCUAAAUUUCAGCAUUUUAAUUUAGAUUUGAUUUUUUUCAAAAUGAAAAUGCUGAAAUUUAGGAUGAUAAUACUGAUGCGGCAUAAAACUAUU
rfam:Gossypium arboreum cultivar AKA8401 contig_22557_3, whole genome shotgun sequence.